rnacentral:rRNA from 1 species
AGUGAACGCUGGCGGUAGGCCUAACACAUGCAAGUCGAACGGCAGCACAGUAAGAGCUUGCUCUUACGGGUGGCGAGUGGCGGACGGGUGAGGAAUACAUCGGAAUCUACUUUUUCGUGGGGGAUAACGUAGGGAAACUUACGCUAAUACCGCAUACGACCUACGGGUGAAAGCAGGGGAUCUUCGGACCUUGCGCGAUUGAAUGAGCCGAUGUCGGAUUAGCUAGUUGGCGGGGUAAAGGCCCACCAGGGCGACGAUCCGUAGCUGGUCUGAGAGGAUGAUAAGCCACACGGGAACUGAGACACGGUCCAGACUCCUACGGGAGGCAGCAGUGGGGAAUAUUGGACAAUGGGCGCAAGCCUGAUCCAGCCAUACCGCGUGGGUGAAGAAGGCCUUCGGGUUGUAAAGCCGUUUUGUUGGGAAAGAAAAGCAGCAGGUUAAUACCCCGCUGUUCUGACGGUACCCAAAGAAUAAGCACCGGCUAACUUCGUG